UCAGCCUGAAAAGGGAAGGAAACUGAUACAUGUUACAACAUUGAUGAACCUUGAGAACAUUGUGCUAAGUGAAAUAAGCCAGCCUCAAAAGACAAACCCAGUACGAUUCCGCUGAUCUGAGGUGUGAGGUUUUGAGCUGCUGCCGCCAUCACGAUUCCCGGGGGCAUGUCAGCGGGAGGAUGAAAUCGACUUCUAGAGAAAGGCAGAGCAAAAACAAUUAGAGAAAUGGAUGGUGUCCUCUGAGCCUCUGGAUUGAAGGACCUGCAGCCAGCUCUCUCCUCGGACUUUCAGUUGUGUCAGCCAUAAUUUUUUAAAAAGAUGAAGACUGUGUCACAAGUUUCCGGUACUCCCAACUGAAUUCCAAAUAAAAUUGACAACUGGCUCUUGGCAAAAGAUUUCCCAAAGACAUCUUCAUGCACGCUUGUCUAUUUAUUUAUUGGCCGUGGGAUUUGCCACCAUUGGGCGAGUGGGUCAGUGGAAGGUCUGCCUGUCCUGAGGCAGCUCUUGGCAUCUGACCCAUGGUCCUACAAUGUGAGUUGUGCAGUUGGCGCCCAGUAUGGAGCCUUUUGCUUUCUGUCCUUCACAAGCUGGGAUGAUAUAUCUUCUACGACAGGAUAAAGAAGCCAUCCUGAGUGUUGGAUACCCAGUCCCGGCGAGGUAGCAUCUUCCCGAGGACAGCAAUGGUGGCCAUGUCUCCCAAGACAGCACAAUCUUUCCCAGAGACAGGAAAACAUAAGAUGAAUCUCACCAAGGCCAAGGAGAGAAGAUCGCCCACUCCCUUACUGCUCCAGACCUAGAGGCACAAGGCUAGAGUGGCCAAGAAAGUUACCGUAUUGACAGGCUUCACGUUUCAGUUCUGGCUUGCCGCUGGUCAUCUAAACACUCUUUGGUACACUGAGGAACAGAACGGCCAUCAGCACCGAGGGAGAGAACAGAAGUGUGGUCGUUGGCUGAGUGGAACACACGAGACGGAACCUGGACUGCUCCACCCAACCCAUGGAAGCUUCCUUGGGGGAGAAGAAAAUUGCAGAGAAGGGGCUGUUUUCCUGUUUUCUCGGGACAUCCCCGAGGGUGGAGGUGAGGGACAUGACGUAGCAUAACAAAAAUGUUAUGUUUUCUUAAAUGUUUGUUUUAUGUUUUCUUAAAUGUUUGUUUUGAAAGCGAGAGAGCAUGCGUGGGGCAGGGGCAACGAGACAGAGAGAGAGAGAGGGAGACAGAGGAUUCAAAGUGGGCUCUGUGCUGACAGCAGAGAGCCCAAUGCGGGGCCUGAACUCACAAACCGUGAGAUUAUCACCUGGGCUGAAAUCAGGAGUUUGGACGCUGAACCAACUGAGCCACCCAGGCACCCUCUCCCUCUUUUGGUCCAUAAAUGUGGACUCCGUGAAUGUAACUGUCCUAUCGAAGAAGGCUGAAACUCUCUUUUUCCCUCUCCCAAACGGAAUGAAGAGCAGCUCUUUAAAUUUCUAACGCAUCCGUGAAAUAUGCUGUGGUGGAACGGACGGAGAUCUUAGAGCUGGAAGAUCCGGAUUUGAACCUGGGCUCUGUGAUCUUUCAUUUGGUGGUUUGUUGGUUUAAUUUAAGUUUUUGUUUCAACCCCAGCUGGUUAACAGACGGCGUUAGAUUGGUUUCAGGUGUACAAUAUGGUGACUCGACAGUAUUGAACUUGUACGGCCCACGUGCCAAAGAGAUGUGAGUUUCAGUGCUACCUCUGCCACUAAGCACGGUGUGAUGUGAGCAAACGCUUUCCUCUCACCUCUCCCUGCGAAGCGCUGUUUUUAACGUUGCCGUGUUUAAUGCAUUUAUUGUCAUUACCAUGCAACCCAGUCCUUAAUUCUAUCGUCGCAUCUGGGUUUGUCUUUUCUCUUGAGCUCAGCUAGAAGCCCCUGGAGAGACAGGCCCACGUUUUAGGACCACCCGUUCUGCAAGAUGCUGGGGGUGCACUUACGCUCAGCACAUAUAGAGUACCUGAGGAAGGGCCUGGUGACAAAGGAAAAGACCUUUGUUCCCCUCACACGUGACUACCUAUCAGUGACCUAAAAUGUCUAGUAACCACUUCUCGGGACUCCGGGACUGCACAGACCCUUGGGGUGUCCAUGAGCAUCACCGAGAAAACACAGAUUUGGGGCCCACCGCACCACUGCGAAACACGUCGCAAGACUUUCCCCCUCAGCCCGCCGGAUUGCUUUUUUAAUUGGUUGAAGUUGGUAGGCUUUAAAUCAUAACAAGAGGAUACAAGUUGGUUAUAACACAGCAAUUUAAAUGUAGGCACAACUGUGAUGUCUGAAUUACAAACGGUGUGCUUACGAUGCUGCAUUUUUCUGGAGCGUGGGAGCCCGGCCCAGGACCGCCUGGCCGGUGCUGAUAAAGAACCACGGCUAUACCCAGUUAGCGGGAAGAGAAGGGGGUCCCCAGGCCGUCACUCCUGACAAGGUGGGGCGGAGCCGGUAAGCUGCCAGGACCCUGCCACCCCCCACCCCAAUCUUCAAGGGAGGAGGAGGAGAUACUGUAGAUAUGAUAGCCACCCGAGGCUCAACGUCUACUGAGCAGUAGUAUGAUGCCAAGUCCUGCUCUUAGUAGUGAGAAUUCAGAAAAGAAUGAGAUGGUUCCUUGUAGGUUCUAAAUCAUUUAGUGAUUCAGGGUCAGUUGAGAGAUUGGGUGGAUGUUUCUUUCUGUCUCUGUCUCUAUCUCUCUCUCUGUCACACACACACACACACACACACACACACACACACACACACACACACUCAAUCAUCACAGUGAGGGUGAUUAGUAGCACUGACUCUAGAGGUUGGGAAGGGGAAGUGCCAAGAGUUUCAGGAAGAGCAGGAUCGAUGUGAGCUCUCUGCCUCCCAGGCUUUGCCCUGGGCUAGCAAACAGAAAAGAUCUACCUUGAACAUGGGCAGUUACCUGGUGACCUGUGGAAGGUCGACACUCUCUGUGCUUUCCCAAAAGAAAGCUUCGUUAACCAUCUGGCUUCUGUCAGUUGUGCUUUCCAGAUUGGCUCUGGGAGGAUCUGCACCCGCCCCCGUCCCCACCUGCUAUGCAGAAGUCCCAAGGUCAGAGUCUCAGGGUCAAAAGACCACUAUUGGUUCACCCAUGUCCACUCCCCCAUCUGAUACCAGCCUUGCCAUCAUCACUGCUUGGCUAAAUUGUUGACCUGGUUCUGGUCACCAGGGUGCAACGUCACCUACUGUGGUUGUCACUCACUGUAGCUGGUUCCAGAAAUGCUUGGCUUUGAGAAUUGGAAAGUCCUUUCCUGCUUCCUCGUGGUUUCCUCCCGUCCACGGAUUAUCUGGCCCUGUGAUCAACGCAACCUCAGGAUGUCCGAUACGCCCGGAAGUCUGCCUGUCGGAAAGAAGGAGAACGUGGAAAAAAGAAAGAGCUGUAGAUCCGACAGGGUAAAGACAGGUCUCCAGAAAAGCUCAAUUUCUCCUUUUUCAGAAGAAGAGGUGUUUCCCAGUGGAGCAAGCAUCAGUAGGGAAAGGUGAACUGCAGGGGAUUUUCAGAGCGUUUCCUAAUCCAGAUUCCUGAGACAUGGGGGCGGAGGCAACCGGAGGCAACUCUUUUUCAUCAAGUCAUGGGUCGAAGGCCAGCCUAAAGAAUUGUUGCCAUUAGGAGGGUGCCCACUUGGACUUCUCAGCAACGGCCGACGGAGUGACAGGUGCCCAGGCUACCGGAGCAGCUGCUCUGCCGGCCAAGGUGACCGGCAGGGCCGGCGUCCUUCAAGAGGGCGAAUAGCCCCCAUGAUUGUUGUUCUUUGUAUAGGACCGCGACGAGACCCGUAUCCUAUUGUCUUGGAUCUGGUUCAGCACACCACCGCUCUGCUGGCGUGCAGACGUGUAGUAAAAUCCUCUCCCGCACAUUUUUUCUGCUCGCUGACUUCAUCGAAAAGUGCUUUCCAAGCGUCUGAUCGCCCGUGGUGGAGGAUGGUUGUUUGGCAGAAAGGAUUAAGGUCUUUUCCUGUGUUUGGGUGCCGACUGUCUUUGAGAAUGCUGAUCAGAGAGGACUCCCUUCUGUUGGCCAGGCCCUAAUUGAUUUAUUGGUUGUCGCAUGAAGCAGGGAGCUAGGAACUCAGGAUGAUAUGACAAGUAUCAGGCCAAAGAAUUUUUCCAGGUCUCUCUUCUUUUUAUUCAAGGUAAAUUUGAGUAAGACACUACCCGCCCCCCCCCCCCCCCGGCCCCCGCCUUAUCUGCUGUUUCACUUCCUGUGGUUUCAAUUACCCACCGCCAACUGCGGAUUGGAAGAAGAUGAUCCUUUCUUUGACAUAUCGUCAGGUCAAUAGUAGCCCUAAUGCUGCGGUGCCUCCGUCACUCACGUCACUUCAUCUCGUCACACAGGCAUUUUCUCAUCUCACAUCCUCACAAGAAGGGUGAGUGCAGUACAAGAAGAUAUUUUGAGAGAGAGAGAGAGAGACCACAUUCACAUAACUUUUAUUAGUUUAUUAUAAUUAUUUUAUUUUAUUAAUUACUGUUGCUAAUUUCUUAUGGUGCCUAAUUUUGUUUAUGUUUAUUUUUGAGAGAGAAAGAGAGAGAGUGU